CCUACGGGUGGCAGCAGUGGGGGAUAUUGCACAAUGGGGGGAACCCUGAUGCAGCGACGCCGCGUGGGGGAAGGAGAGUUUCGGCGCGUAAAGCCCUAUCGGCAGGGAAGAAGGAGGAGGGUACCGGACGAAGAAGCCCCGGCGAACUACGUGCCAGCAGCCGCGGUAAGACGGAGGGGGCAAGCGUGAUCCGGAUUUACGGGGUGUAAAGGGGGCGCAGACGGAAGCGAAAGCCAGGAGUGAACGCCCGGGGCCCCACCCCGGGACUGCUCUUGGAACUGCGCGGCUGGUGUGCAGGAGGGGCCGGCGGAAUUCCUGGUGUAGCCGUGAACUGCGUAGCUAUCCGG
rnacentral:rRNA from 1 species